CCGGGUAACGAAGAAUUAGGGUUCGAUUUCGGAGAGGGAGCAUGAGAAACGGCUACCACAUCUAAGGAAGGCAGCAGGCGCGUAAAUUACCCAAUCCUGACUCAGGGAGGUAGUGACAAGAAAUAGCAAACCGGGAACCUCAUGGUUUCACGGUAUUGCAAUGAGAACAAUUUAAAACCCUUAGCGAGAAUCAAGUGGAGGACAAGUCUGGUGCCAGCACCCGCGGUAAUUCCAGCUCCACUAGCGUAUAUUAAAGUUGUUGCAGUUAAAAGCUCGUAGUUGAACCUCUGUCUGGGGCUAGUUUUGGCUUUGGUCAGGCUAGUUCUAGGCAUCCGCCUACAAGACUUAGAGGGCAUUCAGUUGUUCACUAGGAGGAGUAGGCAUUUUACUUUGAAAAAAUUAGAGUGUUUAAGGCAGGCAAUCGCCCGCAUAUAUUAGCAUGGAAUAAUAGAAUAGGACACUUUUCCAUUUCGUUGGUUAUUGGAAUCGUGUAAUGAUUAAUAGGGACAGUUGUGGGCAUUUGUAUUUAAUUGUCAGAGGUGAAAUUCUUGGAUUUAUUAAAGACAAACUAACGCGAAAGCAUUUGCCAAGGAUGUUUUCAUUAAUCAAGAACGAAAGUUAGGGGAUCAAAGACGAUCAGAUACCGUCCUAGUCUUAACUAUAAACUAUUCCGACUCAAUGUUUGACUGGCUUAUAUAACCAGUUGAGCGUUGUAUGAGAAAUCAAAGUCUUUAGGUUCUGGGGGGAGUAUGGUUGCAAAGCUGAAACUUAAAGGAAUUGACGGAAGAGCACAACCAGGAGUGGAUUCUGCGGCUUAAUUUGACUCAACACGGGGAAACUUACCAGGUUAAAACAAUAGUGGGAUUGACAGUUUGAGAGCGCUUUCUUGAUUGGUUGGGUGGUGGUGCAUGGCCGUUCUUAGUUGGUGGAGUGAUUUGUCUGCUUAAUUGCGUUAACGAACGAGACCUUAACCUGCUUACUAGACUGGCGAUCAUCAAUCGUUAGCUCUUCUUAGAGGGACUUUGGUUGUUUUAACUCCAAGGAAGUUUGAGGCAAUAACAGGUCUGUGAUGCCCUUAGAUAUCCUGGGCCGCACGCGUCAUACAAUGACUAGUUCAGAAAGUUUUCUCCUGACCCGAAAGGGGAUGGGUAAUCUUGAUAAUACUAGUCGUGUUAGGGAUCGAUCUUUGCAAUUAUAGAUCUUGAACGAGGAAUUCCUAGUAAGUGCGGUUCAUCAGACCGUACUGAUUACGUCCCUGCUCUUUGUACACACCGCCCGUCGCUUCUACCGGGUGGGUGGUCCGGUGAGAUAAUUGAACUUCGCAGGUAACUGAGAGGAAAGAUUAUCAAACCUAUCCACCUCGAGGAAGAAGAAGUCGUAACAAGGUU
rnacentral:rRNA from 1 species